UACAGAGGGUGCAAGCGUUAAUCGGAAUUACUGGGCGUAAAGCGCGCGUAGGCGGCUAAACAAGUUGGGUGUGAAAGCCCCGGGCUUAACCUGGGAACGGCACUCAAAACUGUUUGGCUAGAGUACAGCAGAGGUAAGUGGAAUUUCCGGUGUAGCAGUGAAAUGCGUAGAGAUCGGAAGGAACACCAGUGGCGAAGGCGGCUUACUGGGCUGAUACUGACGCUGAGGCGCGAAGGCGUGGGGAGCAAACAGG
rnacentral:rRNA from 1 species